UACGUAGGGUGCGAGCGUUAAUCGGAAUUACUGGGCGUAAAGCGCGCGUAGGCGGCGAACCAAGUCAGGGGUGAAAUCCCGGGGCUCAACCCCGGAACUGCCUUUGAAACUAGUUUGCUAGAAUCUUGGAGAGGUCAGUGGAAUUCCGAGUGUAGAGGUGAAAUUCGUAGAUAUUCGGAAGAACACCAGUGGCGAAGGCGACUGACUGGACAAGUAUUGACGCUGAGGUGCGAAAGCGUGGGGAGCAAACAGG
rnacentral:rRNA from 1 species